rnacentral:rRNA from 1 species
UACGUAGGGUCCAAGCGUUAUCCGGAAUCACUGGGCGUAAAGCGUGCGUAGGUGGCGUGUUAAGUGUGAUGUUAAAUCGUGUGGCUCAACCAUAUCGAUGUGUCGCAUACUGGCAUGCUAGAGGACAGCAGAGGCAAGUGGAAUUUGUAGUGUAGCAGUGAAAUGCGUAGAUAUUACAAGGAACACCAAUGGCGAAGGCAGCUUGCUGGGCUACUCCUGACACUGAGGUACGAAAGCGUGGGGAGCAAACAGG